rnacentral:rRNA from 1 species
GGGGCUUCGGCUCCGGCGCAAAGAGAGGCCCAAGUGAGAUUAGCUAGUUGGUAAGGUAACGGCUUACCAAGGCGACGAUCUCUAGCUGUUCUGAGAGGAAGAUCAGCCACACUGGGACUGAGACACGGCCCAGACUCUACGGGAGGCAGCAGUGGGGAAUAUUGCACAAUGGGGGAAACCCUGAUGCAGCCAUGCCGCGUGUGUGAAGAAGGCCUUCGGGUUGUAAAGCACUUUCAGUUGUGAGGAAAAGUUAGUAGUUAAUACCUGCUAGCCGUGACGUUAACAACAGAAGAAGCACCGGCUAACUCCGUGCCAGCAGCCGCGGUAAUACGGAGGGUGCGAGCGUUAAUCGGAAUUACUGGGCGUAAAGCGCACGCAGGCGGUUUGUUAAGCUAGAUGUGAAAGCCCCGGGCUCAACCUGGGAUGGUCAUUUAGAACUGGCAGACUAGAGUCUUGGAGAGGGGAGUGGAAUUCCAGGUGUAGCGGUGAAAUGCGUAGAUAUCUGGAGGNANACAUCAGUGGCGAAGGCGACUCCCUGGCCAAAGACUGACGCUCAUGUGCGAAAGUGUGGGUAGCGAACAGGAUUAGAUACCCUGGUAGUCCACACCGUAAACGCUGUCUACUAGCUGUGUGUGCCUUUAAGGCGUGCGUAGCGAAGCUAACGCGCUAAGUAGACCGCCUGGGGANGUNANCNGGNCCGCAAGGUUAAAACUCAAAUGAAUUGACGGGGGCCCGCACAAGCGGUGGAGCAUGUGGUUUAAUUCGAUGCAACGCGAAGAACCUUACCUACACUUGACAUGCAGAGAACUUUCUAGAGAUAGAUUGGUGCCUUCGGGAACUCUGACACAGGUGCUGCAUGGCUGUCGUCAGCUCGUGUCGUGAGAUGUUGGGUUAAGUCCCGCAACGAGCGCAACCCUUGUCCUUAGUUGCCAGCCUUAAGUUGGGCACUCUAAGGAGACUGCCGGUGACAAACCGGAGGAAGGGUGGGGACGACGUCAAGUCAUCAUGGCCCUUACGUGUAGGGCUACACACGUGCUACAAUGGCAUUUACAGAGGGAAGCGAGACAGUGAUGUGGAGCGGACCC